UACGUAGGGGGCAAGCGUUGUCCGGAUUUAUUGGGCGUAAAGAGCUCGUAGGCGGCUCGGUAAGUCGGGUGUGAAACCUCCAGGCUCAACCUGGAGACGCCACCUGAUACUGCUGUGGCUAGAGUCCGGUAGGGGAGCGUGGAAUUCCUGGUGUAGCGGUGAAAUGCGCAGAGUAUCAGGAGGAACACCGAUGGCGAAGGCAGGUCUCUGGGCCGAUACUGACGCUGAGGAGCGAAAGCGUGGGGAGCGAACAGG
rnacentral:rRNA from 1 species